rnacentral:lncRNA from 1 species
AAACAAAUGAGAAAAAUAAGAACGGCGUCCAUCCUUGCUAUCCCAGGUUGCCGGCCUGGAACCCAUCCUAGAUCGAAGAAGAAGAAGAAGCAACUCCAAAUGAACAAUCAACGCGCUCGCGUCAAGUAACCUUUACCUGUACCUGCAACUGGUGUUGUAGUAAUCUGUGAGCCACAGGGGACUCAGCAAUCUCAUUUCCAA